GGACCCGCACAAGCGGUGGAGCAUGUGGUUUAAUUCGAUGCAACGCGAAAAACCUUACCUACACUUGACAUACUUCGAAUUUUCUAGAGAUAGAUUAGUGCCUUCGGGAACGGAGAUACAGGUGCUGCAUGGCUGUCGUCAGCUCGUGUCGUGAGAUGUUGGGUUAAGUCCUAUAACGAGCGCAACCCUUACCCUUAUUUGCCAGCGGUUAGGCCGGGAACUAUAAGGAACUGCCGGUAAUAAGCCGGAGGAAGGUGGGACGACGUCAAGUCAUCAUGGCCCUUACGUCCUGGGCUACACACGUGCUACAAUGGCCGGUACAGAGAGCAGCCACUUCGCAAGAAGGAGCG
rnacentral:rRNA from 1 species